rnacentral:tRNA from 1 species
GCUCCCAUAGUUCAAUGGAUAGAGCGUCGGCCUCCGGAGCCGAAAAUCCAGGUUCGAGUCCUGGUGGGAGUACCA